rnacentral:rRNA from 1 species
CAAUAGCGUAUAUUAAAGUUGUUGCAGUUAAAAAGCUCGUAGUUGGAUUUCUGGUGGGAGCGAUCGGUCUGGCGCUUAGCGCGAGUACUUGCAUCGUCUCCGGCCAUCCUUGGGGAGAGUCUGUCUGGCAUUAGGUUGUCGGGCAGAGGAUCCUCAUCGUUUACUGUGAAAAAAUUAGAGUGUUCAAAGCAGGCUUAUGCCGUUGAAUAUAUUAGCAUGGAAUAAUAAGAUAGGACUUUGGUACUAUUUUGUUGGUUUGCGCACCAAAGUAAUGAUUAAUAGGGACAGUUGGGGGUAUUCGUAUUCCGUUGUCAGAGGUGAAAUUCUUGGAUUCGUUGAAGACGAACAAAUGCGAAAGCAUUUGCCAAGGAUGUUUUCAUUAA